AGGUGGGAGGUUCACAUCACUCUUUCUACCUGCAGGAGCAUCAGCUCUGCAGUCAGGAUGAAGCUCCCUAUUUUAACUGCAGUCCUUCUUGGACUCGUCCUGACUCCAACCCUUGGUGAAAAUGAUCAGCAGAUAAAAGGAAAACAGGAAAUCAUCGUCGAUGGAAACACCCAAAUCUCCAUCACUGGUGUUGCACAAACAGUGAAGAUCAAUAGUCAAAAGCGUGUGGCAAUUAUCCAGCAAACGGGCAAAGAUUUAUCAUGGAAAACCAUCUGGAACUACA